rnacentral:rRNA from 1 species
GACGAACGCUGGCGGCGUGCUUAACACAUGCCAGUCGAACGGAAAGGCCCUGCUUUUGUGGGGUGCUCGAGUGGCGAACGGGUGAGUAACACGUGAGUAACCUGCCCUUGACUUUGGGAUAACUUCAGGAAACUGGGGCUAAUACCGGAUAGGAGCUCCUGCUGCAUGGUGGGGGUUGGAAAGUUUCGGCGGUUUGGGAUGGACUCGCGGCUUAUCCGCUUGUUGGUGGGGUAGUGGCUUACCAAGGCUUUGACGGGUAGCCGGCCUGAGAGGGUGACCGGCGACAUUGGGACUGAGAUACGGCCCAGAAUCCUACGGGAGGCAGCAGGGGGGAAUAUUGCGCAGUGGGGGGAAGCCAGAUGCGGAAACGCCGCGUGCGGGAUGACGGCCUUCGGGUUGUAAACCGAUUUCGCCUGUGACGAAGCGUGAGUGACGGUAAUGGGUAAAGAAGCACCGGCUAACUACGUG